rnacentral:tRNA from 7 species
UGGCCCCUUGGUCAAGCGGUCAAGACACCACCCUUUCACGGUGGUAACAGGGGUUCGAUUCCCCUAGGGGUCACCAU